CGAACAUCGCCUUUGCGAGGGCGUAUGUGCCGCUCGCCAGCUCCCUCGACGGGAAAACCCUAGAGAUGCUGGCCAUGCCUUUUCCCCCUAUCCAGAAAAGUAAACUGGGGUGAGGAGAAGGGUGUCGGCCCAGGCCCCAGAGUUUGCUCCAGUGUCAGUACAGACCCAGAGCAAAGCCCAGGAAGGGCUCCCGAUCCCCAGUUCAGCCCAGGAAGGCUCCCGAUCCCCAGUUCAACCCAGGAUGGGCUCCCGAUUCCCAGUUCAGCCCAGGAGGGGCUCCUGUUCCCGAGUAUAGCCCACGGAGGGCUGCUGAUCACCAGUUCAGCCCAGGGUGGGCUCCUGUUCCCGAGUUAAGCCCUGGGUGUGCUCCUGAUUCCCCAUUAAGCCCGGGGAGGGCUCCUGAUUCCCCGUUUAGCCCAGGGAGGGCUCCUGACCCCCAGUUACGCCCAGGGAGGGCUCCUGAUCCCCAGUUCUGCCCAGAAAGGGUCCCAGAUCCUCAAGUAUGCCCAGGGAGUGCUACUGUCCCCGAGUUUAACCCAGUGUCGGCUCCAUCCCCAGAGCUCGCUCCAAUGUCGGCUCCAACCCCAGAGCUCACUCCAUUGCCUGCUCCUCCAGAGCGCCCUCAAGUGCCUGCUACAUCAAGAUGCCUAGUUUUCCCCAUAGAGGCCGAAGCGGGGGCUGGGGUCGCGGCCUUGGAGGCUGCUCCGUCAUGGCCUCCCGGCUCCCAAGAUCCGCCAUGGUCUCCCGGGUCCCCGAUCCGCCAUGGUGCCCCAAACGGGUACCGCUCUGGAGGUCCUCUGUCCCGUGUCUGUCCUAAGGGACCUCCAGAGUGCCCACCCCCCUCCCCAUUGAAUGUUGUGUGGCGCAAGUUCGCGCCUUCUGGGAGGGGGGAGAAUUGUCAGACUUUGUUCCAUGUUUUGUGUGUUCCUGCUCCCUGAUUGUGUUAAUUUAUCCCAGGUGUUUCCAAUGUGUUUCCAUUAGUCCCAGGUGUUCCUCGUCCUCCCCUUAUCUUGUCAUGUUUUCAUAGUGUUCCUUGUUUUCAGUUCGCCGUGCGGUAUUGUUUGUGUCUACAAGUGCUACAUGUGUUUUCCUGUUUCCGUUGGAUUGAUUUAAGACUUUGAAUUGGACAUUGCCUCUCUUGUUCCUCGCUCCGUGCUCCUCACAGUAGCACCCAGUGAC
ensembl:lncRNA